ACAGUUAAGUUCUUAAAACUAAUAAGUAUGGCGGUCGACAAGCGAAUCAGAGGCUCAUGCCGAUAAUCGAAACUGCCCGAAGAUCUUACCUCGGUUAUUUUACACACCGCUGUCGGAAGGUUUUAAAUAAAUUUAUAACCUAUCACACUUACUCGUAAUAAGUCAAGUCAAGGCGUAGACUAUACCGAGGGUAAGGUGUGAGCCAUUAUUUAUUAAUUCAUGGUCGUGAAAACGCAACAUUGGAGGAGAAUUUGAUAGUAAAUUUUAUUAACCAUAUAGAGUUGAAUAGGUAAUUGUCGAUGUACA
rnacentral:rRNA from 1 species